UGUAGGAGUGAGCCUGCUCGCGAUAGCGGUGUGUCAGUUAGCAAAUCAUUGGCUGACACACCGCUAUCGCGAGCAGGCUCACUCCUACA
rnacentral:misc_RNA from 2 species